ensembl:lncRNA
GUCAGUGUCGGUGACUCUGCUAAGCUAGCGGCGUCACGUUACGUGCGUAUGACGUCAUGCGCCGUCGAUUAGGAAGCGGCUUAUACUUCCGGUUAGGAAAAAACCCGCCCGUGUUCUAUUUGAGAUGAUAUAGCUUUCUAAAAUUCAUACACUAGACGGUGGUGCAGAGUGCAGAGUGAGUACAGACGUUAACAAAAAACAAGACAAAACCCCCCCACACAGUCCUUAGUCUUACAGUCCUUGGUCACAGCUGAUCUGGAGCCUAUCCCUCAGGGCACAGUGCAGGGGACACCCUGGACAGGGUGCCAACCCAACGUAGGGCACACAAUCCCACACACAUUCACACACUACGGACAAUUUGGAAAGCCUACACAGGGUGAGGAACCAUCUGCACACACACACAUGAGCAUGUCUUUGGACUGGGGGAGGAAACCAGAGUACCCAGAGGAAAUCCUUGCUUGCUCGGCGGAGGCGGGAUUCGAACACCCAACCCCGGAGGUGUGAAGCGAACGUGCUAACGUGCUAACUAAACCAUGCCCCCUAAUCUUAACCUCAGUAAUCAAAAGUAAACCUUCUGUCUCUGUUAGUAAAAUAAAGUUUAGUUUCAAAUAAAAGAACAAUAAAUAAGCCGUUUUCAUCAGGGGGACCAGCAAAAUGUCCUCACAAGGUCAAAAGGUCACAUAUUUCUAUCCUUGAGGGAACAGUCAAGCCUUACUAAGAUAUAAAAACAUGCCCACACACCUUUCUGCUUACUGUCCUACUAAAUCUUAUUUCUGUCAGUUUCCACACAGAUCUAGCUGAUUGCUUGAUUGGUCCCGCUUGGCAGGAAAAUGGCCUGUUGAAGUGUGUGAGAAGCAGGUGCAGGACUUGGCCCCAGCAGCCCCAGCCUGUGGCCACGGCACGGAAUAAUAGCAGCAGUGUUUCUACACAGUGGAGCGCUGUCACAACCAGCCACUUGCAAAAAUACGACACGUUUUUCAUAGACGUGUGCGCCGGGAAGGAGAAGCUCAAAGAUGAGAACGGGUUUCCUUUUGAGUCUGGUUCCUCUCAAGGUUUCUCCCUCAUGCUGUCUCAUGGAGUGUUUGCUUGCCACUGUCACCUCUGGAUGUGGAAGGGACUGCCGGUCAACUUGAAGGACACCGAGCAGCUGUUUGUGUGCUUUGGGGAGUACCAUAAGCCGGCUUCGCUGUCUAAGGACUGGUUAGGCCACUGCCUAAAGGACGUGAUUACACAGGCAUACUCACAUGCAAGUCAAGAGACACAUUCUUCCAUUAAAAGUCAUUUCAUAUGUGCUAUGGAUACUUUUGUGGUGGUACUAAGCUG